rnacentral:rRNA from 1 species
GACGAACGCUGGCGGCGUGCUUAACACAUGCAAGUCGAACGGAAAGGCCCUGCUUUUGUGGGGUGCUCGAGUGGCGAACGGGUGAGUAACACGUGAGUAACCUGCCCUUGACUUUGGGAUAACUUCAGGAAACUGGGGCUAAUACCGGAUAGGAGCUCCUGCUGCAUGGUGGGGGUUGGAAAGUUUCGGCGGUUGGGGAUGGACUCGCGGCUUAUCAGCUUGUUGGUGGGGUAGUGGCUUACCAAGGCUUUGACGGGUAGCCGGCCUGAGAGGGUGACCGGCCACAUUGGGACUGAGAUACGGGCCAGACUCCUACGGGAGGCAGCAGUGGGGAAUAUUGCACAAUGGGCGGAAGCCAGAUGCAGCAACGCCGCGUGCGGGAUGACGGCCUUCGAGUUGUAAACCGCUUUCGCCUGUGACGAAGCGUGAGUGACGGUAAUGGGUAAAGAAGCACCGGCUAACUACGUG